UGCUGACCAACCUUUGCCCCUUUGUGCAGGGCUCCCAGGAGCCAGGGGAGAUGCUGCCAAGGAAGCUGAAGCA